rnacentral:misc_RNA from 1 species
AAAGUCGUAACAAGGUUUCCGUAGGUGAACCUGCGGAAGGAUCAUUAUUGAUUUUCUUAGAAGAUGUGCUGGCAUUGCAGGUGCACUCUUCAAAACCAAUAAUCCACCUGUGCACUUUUGGUAGGCAACCAUGCCUAUGCAUUUUACAAACAACUAUUGAUGUAAUUGAAUGUGUUGAAUCAUGUAAUACAACUUUCAACAACGGAUCUCUUGGUUCUC